AAAUUAUUUGUCUUCCACCAUUAAAAGAAACACAAAACACCUAAUAUAUUUUCUUUCAUGAAGAAGGCCUCUUCCUCCUCAUCAUCAAAGAGACUGCAAGAAGAUUACAAAAUAAAUCACUGAGAUUUUGUUUUGUUUUCUGAUUGUAUUUUUCGGGUUUUAAGGUUCCUUUUAGGUACAUAAGGAGGCACAGCUAGCACUCUCCUUCCAUAUAUCUGCUGCUGCUGUCAAUCAUGGCUAACAAGAACAUUAGCUUGGAAGAAAUCAAGAAUGAGAACAUCGAUCUUGAACGCAUUCCUGUUGAAGACGUAUUUGAACAGCUUAAAUGUUCAAAAGAUGGUUUAACGACUGAAGAGGGGGAGAACAGAAUCCAAAUUUUCGGUCCCAACAAGUUAGAGGAGAAGAAGGAAAGCAAACUUCUCAAAUUCUUGGGUUUUAUGUGGAAUCCUCUAUCAUGGGUUAUGGAGAUUGCUGCCAUCAUGGCCAUUGCUUUGGCUAAUGGAGGGGGGAAAGGCCCAGAUUUCCCAGACUUCAUUGUUAUUGCAGUGUUAUUGGUAAUUAACUCAACAAUCAGCUUCAUCGAAGAGAACAAUGCUGGUAACGCAGCAGCAGCUCUGAUGGCAAGUCUAGCUCCAAAAGCAAAGGUAUUAAGGGAUGGAAGAUGGAGUGAACAAGAAGCAGCGAUCUUGGUACCAGGAGAUAUUAUUAGCAUCAAACUGGGUGAUAUUGUUCCAGCUGAUGCGCGAUUACUUGAAGGUGAUCCUUUAAAGAUUGAUCAAUCGGCACUGACUGGUGAAUCUUUACCUGUAACUAAGAACCCCGGUGAUGAAGUUUUCUCUGGUUCCACCUGUAAACAAGGUGAAAUUGAAGCCAUUGUUAUCGCUACUGGUGUUCAUACUUUCUUCGGUAAAGCUGCACAUCUUGUUGAUAGUACUAACUCUGUUGGUCAUUUCCAAAAGGUGUUGUCUGCCAUUGGUAAUUUCUGCAUCUGCUCAAUUGCAAUAGGCAUGGUGAUUGAGAUUAUUGUCAUGUACCCAAUUCAACACAGGAGAUACAGAGAUGGUAUUGAUAAUCUAUUGUUUUUACUUAUUGGAGGAAUUCCAAUUGCUAUGCCGACAGUCUUGUCAGUUACCAUGGCUAUUGGAUCACACAGACUUUCGGAACAAGGUGCUAUCACUAAGCGUAUGACCGCCAUUGAGGAAAUGGCUGGUAUGGAUGUUCUCUGCAGUGACAAAACUGGAACUUUGACCCUUAACAAGCUCACUGUUGACAAGAAUCUUAUUGAGGUUUUCUGCAAUGGUGUCGACAAAGAUGGUGUUGUUUUGAUUGCUGCAAUGGCUUCUAGGGUUGAAAACCAGGAUGCCAUCGAUGCUUCCAUUGUUGGUAUGUUAGGAGACCCAAAAGAAGCUAGAGCUGGAAUCACCGAAGUUCAUUUCCUACCAUUCAACCCAGUCGAAAAGCGUACUGCCAUUACCUACAUUGAUGGCCAAGGAAACUGGCACCGAGCUAGCAAGGGUGCACCUGAACAAAUCAUUGAUCUCUGCAACCUAAAAGGGGAUGUGAGAAACAAAGCACAUCAAAUCAUUGACAAGUUCGCGGAAAGAGGUCUUAGAUCUUUGGGUGUCGCAAAACAAACUGUCCCUGAAAGACAAAGGAAAGUGCAGGAGCUCCCUGGGAAUUUGUUGGUCUCUUACCACUUUUCGACCCACCAAGGCACGACAGUGCUGAGACCAUCCGCCGUGCUCUCCACCUCGGAGUGAACGUCAAGAUGAUCACUGGUGACCAACUUGCUAUCGGUAAAGAAACCGGUCGACGUCUUGGUAUGGGAACCAACAUGUACCCAUCGUCUUCCCUCCUUGGUCAAUCCAAAGACGAGUCUAUUGCUUCAAUUCCCAUUGAUGAACUCAUUGAGAAAGCCGAUGGGUUCGCUGGAGUCUUCCCAG